AACGAACGCUGGCGGCAUGCCUAACACAUGCAAGUCGAACGAGACCUUCGUGUCUAUUGGCGCACGGGUGCUGAACGCGGGGGAAGCUGCCCUUGGGUUCGGUAUAACAGUGAGAAAUUACUGCUAAUACCGGAGGAUGUCUUCGGACCAAAGAGGUAUCGCCCAGGGGUGGGCCCGCGUAGGCUUAGCUAGUUGGUGGGGUAAUGGCAGACCAAGGCGACGAUGCUGAGCUGGUCUGAGAGGAUGCUCAGCCACACUGGGAAUGAGACACGGCCCAGACGCCUACGGAAGGCAGGAGUAGGGAAUAUUGGACACUGGGCGCAAGCCCGAUCCAGCAAUGCCGCGUGAGUGAUGAAGGCCUUAGGGUUGUAAAGCUCUCUUACACGGGAUGUUAGUGACAGUAACGGGAGAAUAAGCUCCGGCUAACUACGUG
rnacentral:rRNA from 1 species